rnacentral:rRNA from 1 species
UUGACCUCGAAUCAGGUAGGAAUACCCGCUGAACUUAAGCAUAUCAAUAAGCGGAGGAAAAGAAACCAACCGGGAUUACCUCAGUAACGGCGAGUGAAGCGGUAACAGCUCAAAUUUGAAAUCUGGCUCCGUCGGAGUCCGAGUUGUAAUUUGUAGAAGAUGCUUUGGGUGGUAGGUCCGGCCUAAGUUCCUUGGAACAGGACGUCAUAGAGGGUGAGAAUCCCGUACGUGGCCGAGACUUGUGCCUGUGUAAAGCUCUUUCGACGAGUCGAGUUGUUUGGGAAUGCAGCUCAAAAUGGGUGGUAAAUUUCAUCUAAAGCUAAAUAUGGGCCAGAGACCGAUAGCGCACAAGUAGAGUGAUCGAAAGAUGAAAAGCACUUUGGAAAGAGAGUUAAACAGUACGUGAAAUUGUUGAAAGGGAAGCGCUUGCAACCAGACUUGGACGCUGCUGAUCAUCUAGGGUUCUUCUCUAGUGCACUCGACAGCGUACAGGCCAGCAUCGGUUCGGGUGGCUGGAUAAAGGCUGUAGGAACGUAGCUCCUCUCGGGGAGUGUUAUAGCCUACGGUGCCAUGCAGCCCAGCCGGACCGAGGACCGCGCCUUCGGGCUAGGAUGCUGGCGUAAUGGUUGUAAGCGACCCGUCUUGAAACACGGACCAAGGAGUCUAACAUCUAUGCGAGUGUUUGGGCGUUAAACCCAUACGCGGAAUGAAAGUGAACGUAGGUG